GCACAGAGGAGAACCCAGAUCAGAAGCAGGAGACGUUUCACCCUGCAGGGGAGUGCUGACAGCAUGACACUUGUGAGCUGGCUGUGGGCAAUCGCGGUUUCCACCUGUUUGGAACCCAGCAUAGCCCAGACAGUCUCUCAGUCUCAACCAGAGAUGUCUGUGCAGGAGGCAGAGACUGUGACCCUGAAUUGCCUAUACGACACUAGCGACAGUAAUUAUUAUUUGUUCUGGUACAAACAGCCUCCCAGCAGGCAGAUGAUUCCCAUUAUUCGCCAAGAAGCUUAUAAGCAACAGAAUGCAACGGAGAAUCGCUUCUCUGUGAACUUCCAGAAAGCAGCCAAAUCCUUCAGUCUCAAGAUCUCAGAGUCACAGCUAGGGGAUGCCGCGAUGUACUUCUGUGCUUAUUUGAGCACACAAAUUCAAGAAAUUUUACUUGCCAAGUCUAAACUCUUUUAA